AAGGAAAUACUGUUCUCGAUGAGACACAGCGUCGAAGCCAGGCUUCAAACGCAGACGGUCAGGUCGCACACCAGCGAUCCUAGCCAACUGAGCUAGCACUCAGUUCUUGUUGUUGACGGCCAUCCAGUCCCUGAACAUCCGGCGGGUCUCCACCUCCUCGCUCCUCUCCCCGUACGAUGCGAUCGACAUGUACGCCGCCGCCAGCAGCGCCGUGGACCUCCUCAUCUCCGCAGCCGCGAGGGGAGAUCUGCGGAGCGUGGAUCGCUGUCUCCGUGGAAGAGGAGAUGGGGACUGGGGAGUUGCAAACGGACACGAGCGAUGUGCUGGGGUUGCGGACGCGUGUUCUGGAGCUCGGCGACGGCAAUCGGCAAGGCUGUUUGAGUGAGCUACAGCUCAAGGAUUGAUUCCGGGUGCCGUGUCGUCACUCGUCAGCAACGGAAGUUGGCUGGAUCUGGAUGGAUCCGCCGCACCGACCUCACCGGCAGGCAGUAACGCGGAGCGCGGCGGCCGGCGUGGCCGUUUCGUCGUCGUCUCCGACCCGGCAUGGCGAAGCCGGGAGCACCGAGGCCCGAGCCCGCCGCCGCACGGUGCCGCCCGGCUCGCCGUCGACAUGAGUGGGCAACAACGUACGCACAAGAAUAAACAGACUCAUUUCGGCAAAUGCAAGAAGGAAGCAGCCAGAGGGUUCAGAACAUGUGCAGGCUUUCCAUCCUAGUAAUAACAUUGUUACUCGGAAUCUCCUUCCUUGAACACCUUCACCCACUUCUCGACGCUGUCGAUGACUUCCCCGGUCUUGAUCAGGUACCGGACCUUGGUCCCGUCCUCGAGGAACUUGUGGCCGACCCUGCUUGCCACGCUCUUCUCCUUCGAGUAGAGCAUCACAUUCGAGCUAUGGAUGGGCCCCUCAAUCUGGUCAGAAGAAAUUCAAGUCUAAUCAGGAGAUAGCAAUCAGGCACCUGAAGAAUGAGCAUAUGCAGCUAUGCAGGACAUAACAUGAGGCCUGAAAGAAGCUCAAUUGGAAUGUUUGCUGACCAUGACGAUUUCACCCGGCUCAUCUUCCGUGCCUUUCUUGUGCUUCGACUUCAAGUUCAGGUCCUUCACGAUCACAGUGCUGUUGUGCUUGAAGAGGCGUGUAACUUCUCCAACCUUACCUUUCUCACGUCCUGCGA